CCUACGGGAGGCAGCAGUAGGGAAUAUUGCUCAAUGGGGGAAACCCUGAAGCAGCAACGCCGCGUGGAGGAUGAAGGUUUUCGGAUUGUAAACUCCUGUUGUUAGAGAAGAUAAUGACGGUAUCUAACGAAUAAGCACCGGCUAACUCCGUGCCAGCAGCCGCGGUAAUACGGAGGGUGCAAGCGUUACUCGGAAUCACUGGGCGGAAAGAGCGCGUAGGCGGGAUAGCAAGUCAGAUGUGAAAUCCUAUGGCUUAACCAUAGAUAUGCAUUUGAAACUGUUAUUCUAGAGUAUGGGAGAGGUAGGUGGAAUUCUUGGUGUAGGGGUAAAAUCCGUAGAGAUCAAGAGGAAUACUCAUUGCGAAGGCGACCUGCUAGAACAUAACUGACGCUGAUGCGCGAAAGCGUGGGGAGCAAACAGGAUUAGAUACCCGUGUAGUC
rnacentral:rRNA from 1 species